rnacentral:lncRNA from 1 species
UACGAAAAUGGCAGUUGAUGCCCCUGAAUCCAGGCCAAAUAUUAAUCAAAAUGAUAUAUAGUUUGUAUGAUUUUUUUUUUUUGUCCAACCCACCCUUGGGUUUGUUUGCCAAACUUUCUGAUAUGUAAUCUCUCAAGGCUGUCUAGUUGUUUAAACUUUUGACUUGCACAAUGGCAGAAUGAAAACAAAGGAGUGAAUGAAAGAGUUUAUGAUUCUGUAAAUUAUUAGAGUAUAUAUGUAUGUAAUAAACCCAUACCUGAUGGCUGAAAUUGGGAUCUUCGAGCUUUUAAUGUAGCUGGAAAGUGUCGUUGGGUUAUGAUUGAUGAAGGAGACAAACCGUCUUGGACCACUUCUUCCCCUGCAACGUUAUCAGCAGUAGUCUGCUGCAGUAGCAACAGCCUUAUCCGUAUACAUACUACUGUAAUCUAGCAAGUAGUUUUUUUGGGCACAUAAUCGUGAUCCUACUACAUAUGUCGUCUCAAAAGCGAUUAGACUCGCAAAGAUAUCAAAGUAGUACUGAAAGACUUCGAUACUAGUGUAGUGAGAAGUAAUCUAUGGGUUACCAAUGCAAGAAACCCGAGUCCUAUGAAGUCAGCACCAACUCAAACACCAGUCACGGACCGGUCGCUGGUAGACGGAGUUAGUACCCUGAAGUUAUUAAGUAAUAGGGUCACAAGGCAGCUAAAUGAAAUCAUAGAAGACAUUGAACCUGUAAUAUAGCAACAGUUUCAAGUGGAAAUCAGAU